GAGUUUGAUCAUGGCUCAGAUUGAACGCUGGCGGCAUGCUUUACACAUGCAAGUCGAACGGUAACAGGGAGCUUGCUCCGCUGACGAGUGGCGAACGGGUGAGUAAUGCGUCGGAACGUGCCGAGUAGUGGGGGAUAACGCAUCGAAAGGUGUGCUAAUACCGCAUACGAACUGAGGUUGAAAGUGGGGGACCUUCGGGCCUCACGCUAUUCGAGCGGCCGACGUCUGAUUAGCUAGUAGGUGAGGUAAAGGCUCACCUAGGCGACGAUCAGUAGCGGGUCUGAGAGGAUGAUCCGCCACACUGGGACUGAGACACGGCCCAGACUCCUACGGGAGGCAGCAGUGGGG
rnacentral:rRNA from 1 species